AUUGAACGCUGGCGGCAGGCCUAACACAUGCAAGUCGAGCGAGCGGCGGACGGGUGAGUAAUGUAUGGGGACUGCCCGAUAGAGGGGGAUAACUACUGGAAACGGUGGCUAAUACCGCAUACUAUCGGAUAACCAAUAUGGGAUUAGCUAGUAGGUGGGGUAAAGGCUAACCUAGGCGACGAUCUCUAGCGGGCCUGAGAGGAUGAUCAGCCACACGGGGACUGAGACACGGCCCAGACUCCUCCGGGGGCAGCAGUGGGGAAUUUUGCACACUGGGCGAAAGCCUGAUGCAGCCAUGCCGCUUGUAUGAGGAAGGCUUUAGGUUUGUAAAGUACUUUCAUCGGGGAGGCGUUACCCGCAGAAGAAGCACCGGCUAACUCCGUGCCAGCAGCCGCGGUAAUUC
rnacentral:rRNA from 1 species